rnacentral:rRNA from 1 species
AGGUUAAGCUGGAAAGGGCGCACGGUGGAUGCCUUGGCACUAGGAGCCGAUGAAGGACGGGGCAAACGCCGAAACGCUUCGGGGAGCUGUAAGCAAGCGUUGAUCCGGAGAUGUCCGAAUGGGGGAACCCACUGUCCGUAAUGGGGCAGUAUCCAUGCCUGAAUCCAUAGGGCAUGGAGGGCACACCCGGGGAACUGAAACAUCUUAGUACCCGGAGGAGAAGAAAGCAACCGCGAUUCCCUGAGUAGCGGCGAGCGAAACGGGAACAGCCCAAACCAAGAGGCAUGUCCUCUUGGGGUUGUAGGACCGCUCACGAUGGGAGUGAGAAAGGGACGGGGUAGACGAACCGGUCUGGAACGGCCGGCCAGAGAAGGUGAGAGCCCUGUAGUCGAAACUUCGUUCCCUCCCGAGCGGAUCCUGAGUACGGCGGGACACGAGGAAUCCCGUCGGAAGCAGGGAGGACCAUCUCCCAAGGCUAAAUACUCCCUAGUGACCGAUAGUGCACCAGUACCGUGAGGGAAAGGUGAAAAGCACCCCGGGAGGGGAGUGAAAGAGAACCUGAAACCGUGUGCCUACAAGUAGUCAGAGCCCGUUGAUGGGUGAUGGCGUGCCUUUUGUAGAAUGAACCGGCGAGUGACGAUGGCGUGCGAGGUUAAGCCGAAGAGGCGGAGCCGCAGCGAAAGCGAGUCUGAACAGGGCGUGUGAGUACGUCGUCGUCGACCCGAAACCAGGUGAUCUACCCAUGUCCAGGGUGAAGGCCGGGUAACACCGGCUGGAGGCCCGAACCCACGCACGUUGAAAAGUGCGGGGAUGAGGUGUGGGUAGGGGUGAAAUGCCAAUCGAACUUGGAGAUAGCUGGUUCUCCCCGAAAUAGCUUUAGGGCUAGCCUCGGGUUUGAGAGUCUUGGAGGUAGAGCACUGAUUGGGCUAGGGGCCCCAAACGGGUUACCGAACCCAGUCAAACUCCGAAUGCCAACGACUUAUGCCCGGGAGUCAGACCGCGAGUGAUAAGAUCCGUGGUCGAGAGGGGAACAGCCCAGACCGCCAGCUAAGGCCCCGAAGUGCACGUUCAGUGGAAAAGGAUGUGGAGUUGCCGAGACAACCAGGAUGUUGGCUUAGAAGCAGCCACCAUUUAAAGAGUGCGUAAUAGCUCACUGGUCGAGUGACUCUGCGCCGAAAAUGUACCGGGGCUAAACGUGCCGCCGAAGCUGCGGGAUGACCGUUGGUCAUCGGUAGGGGAGCGUUCUAAGGGCAGAGAAGCCAGACCGGAAGGACUGGUGGAGCGCUUAGAAGUGAGAAUGCCGGUAUGAGUAGCGAAAACAGAGGUGAGAAUCCUCUGCGCCGAAAGCCUAAGGGUUCCUGAGGAAGGUUCGUCCGCUCAGGGUUAGUCGGGACCUAAGCCGAGGCCGAAAGGCGUAGGUGAUGGACAACAGGUUGAGAUUCCUGUACCACCUUCUUCCCGUUUGAGCGAUGGGGGGACGCAGGAGGAUAGGGCGAGCAGGCGGCUGGAAGAGCCUGUCCAAGCCGUGAGGCUGAUCCGCAGGCAAAUCCGCGGAUCAUAAGGCCAAGCGGUGACGGCGACGGAGUAAUCCGGAAGUCCCCGAUUUCACACUGCCAAGAAAAGCCUCUAGCGAGGGAAGAGGUGCCCGUACCGCAAACCGACACAGGUAGGCGAGGAGAGAAUCCUAAGGCGCGCGGGAGAACUCUCGUUAAGGAACUCGGCAAAAUGACCCCGUAACUUCGGGAGAAGGGGUGCUCUUUGGGGUGAAGAGCCCUGAAGAGCCGCAGUGAAAAGGCCCAAGCGACUGUUUAUCAAAAACACAGGUCUCUGCGAAGCCGAAAGGCGACGUAUAGGGGCUGACACCUGCCCGGUGCUGGAAGGUUAAGGGGAGCGCUUAGCGGAAGCGAAGGUGCGAACCGAAGCCCCAGUAAACGGCGGCCGUAACUAUAACGGUCCUAAGGUAGCGAAAUUCCUUGUCGGGUAAGUUCCGACCCGCACGAAAGGUGUAACGACUUGGGCGCUGUCUCAACGAGAGACCCGGUGAAAUUAUACUACCUGUGAAGAUGCAGGUUACCCGCGACAGGACGGAAAGACCCCGUGGAGCUUUACUGCAGCCUGAUAUGGAAUUUUGGUAUCGCUUGUACAGGAUAGGUGGGAGCCUGGGAAGCCGGAGCGCCAGCUUCGGUGGAGGCGUCGGUGGGAUACCACCCUGGCGGUAUUGAAAUUCUAACCCGCACCCCUUAGCGGGGUGGGAGACAGUGUCAGGUGGGCAGUUUGACUGGGGCGGUCGCCUCCCAAAAGGUAACGGAGGCGCCCAAAGGUUCCCUCAGAAUGGUUGGAAAUCAUUCGGAGAGUGCAAAGGCACAAGGGAGCUUGACUGCGAGACGGACAGGUCGAGCAGGGACGAAAGUCGGGCUUAGUGAUCCGGUGGUUCCGCAUGGAAGGGCCAUCGCUCAACGGAUAAAAGCUACCCCGGGGAUAACAGGCUGAUCUCCCCCAAGAGUCCACAUCGACGGGGAGGUUUGGCACCUCGAUGUCGGCUCAUCGCAUCCUGGGGCUGUAGUCGGUCCCAAGGGUUGGGCUGUUCGCCCAUUAAAGCGGUACGCGAGCUGGGUUCAGAACGUCGUGAGACAGUUCGGUCCCUAUCCGUCGCGGGCGGAGGAAAUUUGAGAGGAGCUGUCCUUAGUACGAGAGGACCGGGAUGGACGCACCGCUGGUGUACCAGUUGUCCCGCCAGGGGCACCGCUGGGUAGCUAUGUGCGGACGGGAUAAGCGCUGAAAGCAUCUAAGCGUGAAGCCCCCCUCAAGAUGAGAUUUCCCACCGCGCAAAGCGGGUAAGAUCCCUCGAAGAUGACGAGGUCGAUAGGUCCGAGGUGGAAGCGUGGCGACACGUGGAGCUGACGGAUACUAAUCGAUCGAGGGCUUGACCUAUAA